GACGAACGCUGGCGGCGUGCUUAACACAUGCAAGUCGAGCGGUAAGGCCCUUUCGGGGGUACACGAGCGGCGAACGGGUGAGUAACACGUGGGUGACCUGCCCUUAGCUCUGGGAUAAGCCUGGGAAACUGGGUCUAAUACCGGAUAUGACUCCAUGACGCAUGUUGUGGGGUGGAAAGCCUUGUGCGGCUAGGGAUGGGCCCGCGGCCUAUCAGCUUGUUGGUGGGGUGAUGGCCUACCAAGGCGACGACGGGUAGCCGGCCUGAGAGGGCGACCGGCCACACUGGGGACUGAGACACGGCCCAGACUCCUACGGGAGGCAGCAGUGGGGAAC
rnacentral:rRNA from 1 species